rnacentral:lncRNA from 1 species
AUAACAAUAAAAUAUCAAAAUUUCACAUUUUUUCGUAGUUGCCUGAAAUAUAUAAAAAAAUGUAAUUCAUAAACGUCCGAAAAGUAUAAAAAUCAAGAAAAUGACAUAAAUAUACCUCCAAAAAUUUCUGAAUCGCAUCAUUCAACUUAGCAUAUCAAUAGGAAUAAAAUAUCAAAAUUUCAUAUUUUGACGUGACUGCCCG